CCUACGGGUGGCAGCAGUGAGGAAUAUUGGUCAAUGGCCGCAAGGCUGAACCAGCCAAGUCGCGUGAAGGAAGACGGAUCUAUGGUUUGUAAACUUCUUUUAUAGGGGAAUAAAGGUAUCCACGUGUGGCUAUUUGCAUGUACCCUAUGAAUAAGCAUCGGCUAACUCCGUGCCAGCAGCCGCGGUAAUACGGAGGAUGCGAGCGUUAUCCGGAUUUAUUGGGUUUAAAGGGUGCGUAGGUUGGUUUUUAAGUCAGCGGUGAAAGUUUGUGGCUCAACCAUAAAAUUGCAGUUGAUACUGGAAGACUUGAGUGUGUUUGAGGUAGGCGGAAUGCGUGGUGUAGCGGUGAAAUGCAUAGAUAUCACGAAGAACUCCGAUUGCGAAGGCAGCUUACUAAGCUAUCACUGACACUGAAGCACGAAAGCGUGGGGAUCAAACAGGAUUAGAUACCCUAGUAGUC
rnacentral:rRNA from 1 species